rnacentral:rRNA from 1 species
UUGGCUGAGUAAUGCUUAGGAAUCUGCCUAUUAAUGGGGGACAACAUUCCGAAAGGAAUGCUAAUACCGCAUACGCCCUACGGGGGAAAGCAGGGGAUCUUCGGACCUUGCGCUAAUAGAUGAGCCUAAGUCAGAUUAGCUAGUUGGUGGGGUAAAGGCCUACCAAGGCGACGAUCUGUAGCGGGUCUGAGAGGAUGAUCCGCCACACUGGGACUGAGACACGGCCCAGACUCCUACGGGAGGCAGCAGUGGGGAAUAUUGGACAAUGGGCGCAAGCCUGAUCCAGCCAUGCCGCGUGUGUGAAGAAGGCCUUUUGGUUGUAAAGCACUUUAAGCGAGGAGGAGGCUACUUGGAUUAAUACUCUAGGAUAGUGGACGUUACUCGCAGAAUAAGCACCGGCUAACUCUGUGCCAGCAGCCGCGGUAAUACAGAGGGUGCGAGCGUUAAUCGGAUUUACUGGGCGUAAAGCGUGCGUAGGCGGCUUCUUAAGUCGGAUGUGAA